rnacentral:rRNA from 1 species
UACGGGGGGGGGCAAGCGUUGUUCGGAUUUACUGGGCGUAAAGGGCGCGUAGGCGGCGCGGUAAGUCACUUGUGAAAUCUCUGAGCUUAACUCAGAACGGCCAAGUGAUACUGCAGUGCUAGAGUGCAGAAGGGGCAAUCGGAAUUCUUGGUGUAGCGGUGAAAUGCGUAGAUAUCAAGAGGAACACCUGAGGUGAAGACGGGUUGCUGGGCUGACACUGACGCUGAGGCGCGAAAGCCAGGGGAGCAAACGGG